rnacentral:lncRNA from 1 species
AAUGGUUAAAAUGGUGAGUUUUAUAUUAUGUAUAUUUGACCAAAAUAACAGAUAGGUAGAUACAUAGAUGAUAGAUACAUCAUACAUGAUAGAUAGUUCAUAGCUGGGUGAUGAUGAUACACAAAUACAUAGAUAAAUGAUAGGUGAGACAGAUAGAUGAUAGGUGAUAGAUGAUAGAUGACAGAUGGCUAGAUGAUAGGUAGAUACAUAGAUGGUAGAUAGAUAGAUAAUAGGUAGAUUAUACACAGAUGAUAGAUAGAUGGGUAGAUAGAUGCUACAUAGGUAGAUAGAUAGCCUCCAAGACAAUGGGAGAAUAAAUGUCUGUUGUUUAAGCCCUGCAGUCUAUGGUGUUCUGUUAUAGCAGCUUGAAAUGGACUAAGACACCUCAUAAGAAGAGAUGAGGACACAGACACACACAGAGAGACGACUGUAUGAGGACAAAGGGAGAACACAGAGUCUACAAGCCAAGGAGAGAGGCCUCAGGAGGAACCAGCCCUGCCCACACCUUGAUCUCAGACUUCCGACCUCCAGGAUUGUAAGGAAAUAAAUUUCUGUUGUUUAAGCCCCUCAGUCUACAGUCCUUUGUUAUGGCAGCUCUAGCAAAGGCAUAUACCUUCUCCAUCCCCUCUCCUCUGAUAAAUACCAAUAUCUCAAGAGAACUUGGAGGCAGCUGUUGAAGAGAGCUGAGCCACAAUGUUGAAAGUUAUUGGGUCCCUGAUUCAGGACUUGAAAGAGCAUCACCAGCCAACCAGAAACACACACUUUGGGCUUAACACCAGGUAUUUGUUAGAAAAAAAAAUACGGGCUGGGUGCGGUGGCUCACGCCUGUAAUCCCAGCACUUUGGGAGGCUGAGGCGGGCGGAUCAUGAGGUCAGGAGAUUGAGACCAUCCUGGCUAACAUGGUGAAACCUCGUCUCUACUAAAAAUACAAAAAAAUUAGCUGGGCAUGGUGGCGGGCGCCUGUAGUCCCAGCUACUCGGGAGGCUGAGGCAGGAGAAUGGCGUGAACCUGGGAGGCGGAGCUUGCAGUGAGCUGAGAUCACCCCACUGCACUCCAGCCUGGGCGACAGAGUGAGACUCUGUCUCAAAAAAAAAAACCAAAAAAAAAAAAAAAAACACUGAGAUUUGGUGUUCAUUCAUCAGCUUAAGCAGCUUAUCAUGGCCCUAACUAACAAAGCAUGUUUUACAUAACAGGUACUUUGCCCACAGUCAAGUGUAUCAAGAUCAAAUGAUGAUGUGCUACACCUUUGCUGUAGAUUUCUUAUCAAUACACUCUUUCCUUGUGUCCUCUGAGAGUCUACUUCACUGCAGGGCUGCUGCUACCAGCUGCUGUGGUCAUAGCCUUGGUGUUCUUGUCUAAUUAAUGAGGGUUCCCAUUAAACUAGACUCCAGCUGUUUUGACUUCCAGAAUUGCUUUAGGAGAGUCUCUGUGGUCAUUAAUAAGGUGAGACCUUUUGGUUCCCAAUACAAAGAGAGAAGAUAAUUUAUUUUCUACAGCAUUUUUUCCCAUAAAGCUCUAUAUUCCGUUACAUUUUAAAGGGCAUUUCAACAAAUGAUGUAUGAAAUGGAGAACAAAAUCUGUAUGGUUCUGCAGUAAAGGGCAUGCAAAACUAGAGAACGGCUCUGAAAUGAUGUGGAAAAACAGCAAUCUACUUUUCUUUAAAAAAAUUAAAGGCUUAUGCUUCACAUAAAUUCAUGUCGAUUUUCCAGGCAUUAUUUGGUUAUAACGUCUGAGGCAUUGCAUGGAUUUACUGGUACCUAAAGUGUGGAUUUAUUCUUAAGAAGCAUGCAGCUCUACAAUCUUGUACAGUGAAACGUUGGGCACUCACAAAGUUAUGCAAGACAGGUUAUGAUGUGGGCUUAAGAAAGGUGUUGAGAGCUAGGAGUAGAGAUAUAGAAGAAAAAAAGUGUAAUAUUUUCAAGAAAGAGUAAUUAGUUUGUAAGUGGAGGCUACUUUCAGUGUUUUUUUUUUUUAAUUUUGAUGUUUUAG